AACAAACGCUGGCGGCGUGCCUAACACAUGCAAGCCGUACGAGAAAGGGUCCUUCGGGGCCUGAGUAAAGUGGCGCACGGGUGAGUAACGCGUGGAUAAUCUGCCCUUCAGUUGGGAAUAACUCAUCGAAAGGUGGGCUAAUACCGAAUAAUGCUGUGAGACCUCGGCUGAUCAGCCAAAGAGAGCCUCUGCUUGCAAGCCCUCGCUGAAGGAUGAGUCCGCGUACCAUUAGCUAGUUGGUAGGGUAAUGGCCUACCAAGGCGACGAUGGUUAGCUGGUCUGAGAGGAUGAUCAGCCACACUGGAACUGAGACACGGUCCAGACUCCUACGGGAGGCAGCAGUGAGGAAUCUUGCGCAAUGGGGGCAACCCUGACGCAGCAACGCCGCGUGAGUGAGGAAGGUCUUCGGAUCGUAAAGCUCUGUCGGAUGGAAAGAACCGCAUAGGGGUAAACAGCCCCUGUGUCUGACGGUACCGUCAAAGGAAGCACCGGCUAACUCCGUGCCAGCAGCCGCGGUAACAC
rnacentral:rRNA from 1 species